rnacentral:misc_RNA from 1 species
GAUGAAGAACGUAGCGAAAUGCGAUAAGUAAUGUGAAUUGCAGAAUUCAGUGAAUCAUCGAAUCUUUGAACGCACCUUGCGCCCUUUGGCCAUUCCGAAGGGCAUGCCUGUUUGAGUAUCAUGAACACCUCAACUCUUUAUGGUUUUCCAUGAUGAGCUUGGACUCUGGGGGUUUUGCUGGCUCACAGUCGGCUCCUCUAAAAUGAAUCAGCUUACCAGUGUUUGGUGGGUAUCAUGGGUGUGAUAACUAUCUACGCUUGUGGUUUUUCCACCAGGUAACCUUCAGCAGUGGAGGUUCGCUGGAGCUCAUAGAUGUCUCUCCUCAGUGAGGACAGCCCUUUGAAUGUUUGAUCUCAAAUCAGGUAGGACUACCCGCUGAACUUAAGCAUAUCAAUAAGGGGAGGA